rnacentral:rRNA from 1 species
UACCAGCACCCCGAGUGGUCGGGACGAUUAUUGGGCCUAAAGCAUCCGUAGCCGGUCAUGCAAGUCCUCCGUUAAAUCCACCUGCUUAACAGAUGGGCUGCGGAGGAUACUACAAGGCUAGGAGGCGGAAGGAGGCAAGCGGUACUCAGUGGGUAGGGGGUAAAAAUCCUCUGAUCCAUUGAAGACCACCAGUGGCGAAGGCGGCUUGCCAAUACGCGCUCGACGGUGAGGGAUGAAAGCUGGGGGAGCAA